GCCUUACACAUGCAGUUCGAGCGGUAUCAGGUCUUCGGACGCUGACUAGUGGCUAACGGGUGAACAGUAUCGUCUAGAACGUGCCCAGUCUGGGGGGAUAUCUACUCCAACUACUAGCUAAUACCGCAUACAAUCUGAGGAUGAUUUCGUCGGACCUUCGGGCCUCGCGCGAUUGAACCGUCCGAUGGUUGAUUAUGUACUUGGUGGGAUAUAAGCUUACCGUGCCGACGAUCUGCAGCUGGGCUGAGAUGACUACCCGCACCUCUGAGGACUGACACACCAGCCCGGACUCCUACAGACAGGCAGCAACUGCUGAAUUUUGGACAAUGUGGCGAAAGCCUGAUCCUGCAAUGACACGCGUGCAGGAUGAAUGCCUUCGUGAUUGUAUGACUGCUUUUGUACUGAACGAAUAUGCUCCUUCUAAUACAGGGCUGGCCAUGACUAGUUCGCUCUGAAUAAGACACCUGGCUAACUACGAUGCCAGCAGCCUACCUUCAUACCUACGGUGCCAGCGUUACUCAGAAUUACUGCGUUUAUAGCGUGUACUGGCGGUUAUGUAAGACAGAUGUGAAAUCUCCGUGCUCUAGCUGAGAACUGCAUUUGUGACUGCAUGGCUCUAGUACCGUAGAGGGUUAUGUAAUUCCGAGUGUAGUGGUGUUAUGCGUAUAUCUGCGGAAUAACACCAAUUGUGAAGGCACUCCCCUGGACCUGUACUGUCUCUCAUGCUCGACAGCGUGUGAAGCACACAAGAUUAGAUACCCUGCUAGU
rnacentral:rRNA from 1 species